GAUGAACGCUGGCGGCGUGCCUAAUACAUGCAAGUCGAGCGAACAGAUAAGGAGCUUGCUCCUUUGACGUUAGCGGCGGACGGGUGAGUAACACGUGGGUAACCUACCUAUAAGACUGGAAUAACUCCGGGAAACCGGGGCUAAUGCCGGAUAACAUUUAGAACCGCAUGGUUCUAAAGUGAAAGAUGGUUUUGCUAUCACUUAUAGAUGGACCCGCGCCGUAUUAGCUAGUUGGUAAGGUAACGGCUUACCAAGGCAACGAUACGUAGCCGACCUGAGAGGGUGAUCGGCCACACUGGAACUGAGACACGGUCCAGGCUCCUACGGGAGGCAGCAGUAGGGAAUCUUCCGCAAUGGGCGAAAGCCUGACGGAGCAACGCCGCGUGAGUGAUGAAGUUCUUCGGAUCGUAAAACUCUGUUAUUAGGGAAGAACAAAUGUGUAAGUAACUGUGCACGUCUUGACGGUACCUAAUCAGAAAGCCACGGCUAACUACGUG
rnacentral:rRNA from 1 species